rnacentral:tRNA from 1 species
ACCCUAGCUCAGUCUGUAGAGCAUGAGCCUCUUAAUCUCAGGGUCAUGGGUUCAAGCCCCACUUUGGGUG